rnacentral:RNase_P_RNA from 2 species
UCCUCAUCAAAGCUGCGUUUCUAUGCUACAAACUGAAGAGAUGUCUAGGGCAUCUCUUCCUGACAACACGUCAUCACAUGCAUAUGAGAAAUUCGGAGUAAUCUUCAAUUCACUAUGCUUAAUCUAUUGGUUAAGCUGUUGGUCUGCUCGUAAGGGCUUUGUGUGAUCUCACACACGCAAUUGGCAUCAGAAAAGCAGGUCGAUCUUUAGUCCUUGGUCUCGCGAGAGAAAAUUGACUUGGGAUUGUGCCUAUGGGAGAGCCGUUGUGAAGAUUGUGUGUGCCACAGCACGACACUUAAGUGCAAUACGCAGCGCACAUCACUCAUCCAAUUAAUGGAUAGCGUGGUGUGCAAUUCGAUUCCGAUUACUCUGAUGAGGA